rnacentral:rRNA from 1 species
AGCGGCGGACGGGUUAGUAACGCGUGGGAACCUACCCUUUUCUACGGAAUAGCCUCGGGAAACUGAGAGUAAUACCGUAUAAGCCCUUCGGGGGAAAGAUUUAUCGGGAAAGGAUCGGCCCGCGUUAGAUUAGAUAGUUGGUGGGGUAAUGGCCUACCAAGUCUACGAUCUAUAGCUGGUUUUAGAGGAUGAUCAGCAACACUGGGACUGAGACACGGCCCAGACUCCUACGGGAGGCAGCAGUGGGGAAUCUUAGACAAUGGGCGCAAGCCUGAUCUAGCCAUGCCGCGUGUGUGAUGAAGGUCUUAGGAUCGUAAAGCACUUUCGCCAGGGAUGAUAAUGACAGUACCUGGUAAAGAAACCCCGGCUAACUCCGUGCCAGCAGCCGCGGUAAUACGGAGGGGGUUAGCGUUGUUCGGAAUUACUGGGCGUAAAGCGUACGUAGGCGGAUCAGAAAGUAUAGGGUGAAAUCCCAGGGCUCAACCCUGGAACUGCCUUAUAAACUCCUGGUCUUGAGUUCGAGAGAGGUGAGUGGAAUUCCAAGUGUAGAGGUGAAAUUCGUAGAUAUUUGGAGGAACACCAGUGGCGACGCGGCUCACUGGCUCGAUACUGACGCUGAGGUACGAAGUGUGGGGAGCAAACAGGAUUAGAUACCCUGGUAGUCCACACCGA